rnacentral:rRNA from 1 species
UACGUAGGGGCCUAGCGUUGUCCGGAAUUAUUGGGCGUAAAGAGCUCGUAGGCGGUUCGGCAAGUCGGAUGUGAAAUCUCCACGCUUAACGUGGAGGGGCCAUUCGAAACUGCUGUGACUCGAGUCCGGUAGGGGAGUGUGGAAUUCCCGGUGUAGCGGUGAAAUGCGUAGAUAUCUGGAGGAACACCGGUGGCGAAGGCGGCAUCCUGGACCAACACUGACGCUGAGGAGCGAAAGCCAGGGGAGCAAAGCGG